rnacentral:rRNA from 1 species
CUUGAAUAAGCAUAAGAGGUCCAGCCUGCCCAGUGACCAUGUUCAACGGCCGCGGUAUCCUAACCGUGCGAAGGUAGCGUAAUCACUUGUUCUUUAAAUAAGGACUAGUAUGAACGGCAUCACGAAGGUUACACUGUCUCCUCUUUCUAAUCAGUGAAACUAAUCUCCUCGUGAAGAAACGAGGAUAAACAUAUAAGACGAGAAGACCCUAUGGAGCUUCAAACUAUAAAGCACCUGCCCCAGUAUUACUUAAUUCCAGAAAACCACACCUACCCAGGCAAGAUGACCUUUAGUUUUAGGUUGGGGUGACCGCGGAGCAAAAAAAAACCUCCACAUUGAAAGGAGCCAACUCCUUAGCCAAGAGCCACACCUCUAAGCACCAACAAAAAGACAUCAAUUGACCCAAUAUUUUUGACCAACGAAC